rnacentral:rRNA from 1 species
AGGAUCCGUAUCGGAUUACUGGGCGUAAGCGCACGCAGGCGGUCUGUUAAGUCAGAUGUGAAAUCCCCGGGCUUAACCUGGGAACUGCAUUUGAAACUGGCAGGCUUGAGUCUCGUAGAGGGGGGUAGAAUUCCAGGUGUAGCGGUGAAAUGCGUAGAGAUCUGGAGGAAUACCGGUGGCGAAGGCGGCCCCCUGGACGAAGACUGACGCUCAGGUGCGAAAGCGUGGGGAGCAAACAGGAUUAGAUACCCUGGUAAA